GGGUUGUGAGGUUAAGCGACUAAGCGUACACGGUGGAUGCCCUGGCAGUCAGAGGCGAUGAAGGACGUGCUAAUCUGCGAUAAGCGUCGGUAAGGUGAUAUGAACCGUUAUAACCGGCGAUUUCCGAAUGGGGAAACCCAGUGUGUUUCGACACACUAUCAUUAACUGAAUCCAUAGGUUAAUGAGGCGAACCGGGGGAACUGAAACAUCUAAGUACCCCGAGGAAAAGAAAUCAACCGAGAUUCCCCCAGUAGCGGCGAGCGAACGGGGAGCAGCCCAGAGCCUGAAUCAGUGUGUGUGUUAGUGGAAGCGUCUGGAAAGGCGCGCGAUACAGGGUGACAGCCCCGUACACAAAAAUGCACAUAUUGUGAGCUCGAUGAGUAGGGCGGGACACGUGGUAUCCUGUCUGAAUAUGGGGGGACCAUCCUCCAAGGCUAAAUACUCCUGACUGACCGAUAGUGAACCAGUACCGUGAGGGAAAGGCGAAAAGAACCCCGGCGAGGGGAGUGAAAAAGAACCUGAAACCGUGUACGUACAAGCAGUGGGAGCACGCUUAGGCGUGUGACUGCGUACCUUUUGUAUAAUGGGUCAGCGACUUAUAUUCUGUAGCAAGGUUAACCGAAUAGGGGAGCCGAAGGGAAACCGAGUCUUAACUGGGCGUUAAGUUGCAGGGUAUAGACCCGAAACCCGGUGAUCUAGCCAUGGGCAGGUUGAAGGUUGGGUAACACUAACUGGAGGACCGAACCGACUAAUGUUGAAAAAUUAGCGGAUGACUUGUGGCUGGGGGUGAAAGGCCAAUCAAACCGGGAGAUAGCUGGUUCUCCCCGAAAGCUAUUUAGGUAGCGCCUCGUGAAUUCAUCUCCGGGGGUAGAGCACUGUUUCGGCAAGGGGGUCAUCCCGACUUACCAACCCGAUGCAAACUGCGAAUACCGGAGAAUGUUAUCACGGGAGACACACGGCGGGUGCUAACGUCCGUCGUGAAGAGGGAAACAACCCAGACCGCCAGCUAAGGUCCCAAAGUCAUGGUUAAGUGGGAAACGAUGUGGGAAGGCCCAGACAGCCAGGAUGUUGGCUUAGAAGCAGCCAUCAUUUAAAGAAAGCGUAAUAGCUCACUGGUCGAGUCGGCCUGCGCGGAAGAUGUAACGGGGCUAAACCAUGCACCGAAGCUGCGGCAGCGACGCUUAUGCGUUGUUGGGUAGGGGAGCGUUCUGUAAGCCUGUGAAGGUGUGCUGUGAGGCAUGCUGGAGGUAUCAGAAGUGCGAAUGCUGACAUAAGUAACGAUAAAGCGGGUGAAAAGCCCGCUCGCCGGAAGACCAAGGGUUCCUGUCCAACGUUAAUCGGGGCAGGGUGAGUCGACCCCUAAGGCGAGGCCGAAAGGCGUAGUCGAUGGGAAACAGGUUAAUAUUCCUGUACUUGGUGUUACUGCGAAGGGGGGACGGAGAAGGCUAUGUUGGCCGGGCGACGGUUGUCCCGGUUUAAGCGUGUAGGCUGGUUUUCCAGGCAAAUCCGGAAAAUCAAGGCUGAGGCGUGAUGACGAGGCACUACGGUGCUGAAGCAACAAAUGCCCUGCUUCCAGGAAAAGCCUCUAAGCAUCAGGUAACAUCAAAUCGUACCCCAAACCGACACAGGUGGUCAGGUAGAGAAUACCAAGGCGCUUGAGAGAACUCGGGUGAAGGAACUAGGCAAAAUGGUGCCGUAACUUCGGGAGAAGGCACGCUGAUAUGUAGGUGAAGUCCCUCGCGGAUGGAGCUGAAAUCAGUCGAAGAUACCAGCUGGCUGCAACUGUUUAUUAAAAACACAGCACUGUGCAAACACGAAAGUGGACGUAUACGGUGUGACGCCUGCCCGGUGCCGGAAGGUUAAUUGAUGGGGUCAGCGCAAGCGAAGCUCUUGAUCGAAGCCCCGGUAAACGGCGGCCGUAACUAUAACGGUCCUAAGGUAGCGAAAUUCCUUGUCGGGUAAGUUCCGACCUGCACGAAUGGCGUAAUGAUGGCCAGGCUGUCUCCACCCGAGACUCAGUGAAAUUGAACUCGCUGUGAAGAUGCAGUGUACCCGCGGCAAGACGGAAAGACCCCGUGAACCUUUACUAUAGCUUGACACUGAACAUUGAGCCUUGAUGUGUAGGAUAGGUGGGAGGCUUUGAAGUGUGGACGCCAGUCUGCAUGGAGCCGGCCUUGAAAUACCACCCUUUAAUGUUUGAUGUUCUAACGUGGACCCGUAAUCCGGGUUGCGGACAGUGUCUGGUGGGUAGUUUGACUGGGGCGGUCUCCUCCUAAAGAGUAACGGAGGAGCACGAAGGUUGGCUAAUCCUGGUCGGACAUCAGGAGGUUAGUGCAAUGGCAUAAGCCAGCUUGACUGCGAGCGUGACGGCGCGAGCAGGUGCGAAAGCAGGUCAUAGUGAUCCGGUGGUUCUGAAUGGAAGGGCCAUCGCUCAACGGAUAAAAGGUACUCCGGGGAUAACAGGCUGAUACCGCCCAAGAGUUCAUAUCGACGGCGGUGUUUGGCACCUCGAUGUCGGCUCAUCACAUCCUGGGGCUGAAGUAGGUCCCAAGGGUAUGGCUGUUCGCCAUUUAAAGUGGUACGCGAGCUGGGUUUAGAACGUCGUGAGACAGUUCGGUCCCUAUCUGCCGUGGGCGCUGGAGAACUGAGGGGGGCUGCUCCUAGUACGAGAGGACCGGAGUGGACGCAUCACUGGUGUUCGGGUUGUCAUGCCAAUGGCACUGCCCGGUAGCUAAAUGCGGAAGAGAUAAGUGCUGAAAGCAUCUAAGCACGAAACUUGCCCCGAGAUGAGUUCUCCCUGACCCUUGAAGUCCUGAAGAACG
rnacentral:rRNA from 1 species